rnacentral:lncRNA from 1 species
AGUCAGCAGGCACAAUAGACUGAAUAGGAAGGGAAGUGAAGAGUGAAGUCUGGAUCCGUUUAGCCUCCAGCUGAUGUUCUGCUUAUUUCCUGUACUGGAACUCUCAGAAGUCCUCAAACCACAAUCACAGUUGUUGGUUCCAGAAACAUCUUCUUUGGAAAAACAUGUGACAUCAGUUUCCUCAGAGUCUCCCGGACAAUCCAGUCACGCAGAACUGACAAAACCUUGUCCAGUAAGAAGGUAAGAAUCUUCUUCAAUAGAGAAUACGUCAACGUCUCCGUGAACGAAGAGAUCUGCUGGUUCCAAGGACUUGUCGUGGAUUUCUGUCCUAGAUACUUUCUUCCGUAAUUCAAGAUAAAGAAAAUUACAAUCUCUGCUGUCCAUUCCAUCGCUUUUCCCUUCAGAAUCAUAAUCAGAGAAUCCUUGCAGAACGUCGUGAGUGUGCUCUCAGCUGCAAUCACCAGAAGGACUCUUCACACUCGGAACACUUCCAAGAAGUUUCUCCUCCUCUAUGAUGAAACCAACACAAGAAAGCCAAAAGGGCGUUUAACCCCUUGAAGCACUGAGAGUUUCCCUGCUGAUAUUCUUAGACUGUUCUUUUUCUAAAACGAGAAAGAGGUAAGUUCUCUUUUUUUUUUUACACUGCCCAAAACUCUCUCUGCUCAGUGCUGGGCACUGGAAAACAAUGGCCCUCUCUCUGGAAACCACUAUCUGCCAUCUCAAGGGCCCACUACAGGUCUGCCCAGCAUUUUCAUCCCUUCCUCAAGUCUGGUGCCCAGGACCCUCC